rnacentral:rRNA from 1 species
GACGAACGCUGGCGGCGUGCUUAACACAUGCAAGUCGAACGGAAAGGCCCUGCUUUUGUGGGGUGCUCGAGUGGCGAACGGGUGAGUAACACGUGAGUAACCUGCCCUUGACUUUGGGAUAACUUCAGGAAACUGGGGCUAAUACCGGAUAGGAGCUCCUGCUGCAUGGUGGGGGUUGGAAAGUUUCGGCGGUUGGGGAUGGACUCGCGGCUUAUCAGCUUGUUGGUGGGGUAGUGGCUUACCAAGGCUUUGACGGGUAGCCGGCCUGAGAGGGUGACCGGCCACAUUGGGACUGCGAUACGGCCCAGACUGCUACGGGAGGCAGCGGUGGGGAAUAUCGCACAAUGGGCGGAAGCCUGAUGCAGCGACGCCGCGUGCGGGAUGACGGCCUUCGGGUUGUAAACCGCUUUCGCCUGUGACGAAGCGUGAGUGACGGUAAUGGGUAAAGAAGCACCGGCUAACUACGUG